GUGCUUGCUUCGGCAGCACAUAUACUAAAAUUGGAAUGAUACAGAGAAGAUUAGCAUGGCCCCUGUGCAAGAAAGUAUUGGCUUGUCAACUUGAAUUCAGACCUAAA